AGGAGCCAACUUCCCUGCUCCUUAUUGCUGGUUUGUGCUUUUUCCUUGCCCAUUCCUUGCAGGUCCUGCUAGGAGAGGUUCUUGCCAGUCAAGACUCCUCGGUCCAGGCAGGAAAGGCGGAGCAGCAGGAGAGCAUGGAUAGAGUGCAUGGUGCCUGGAAGCUGAGAUGGAAGGAGCUGGCUGCAUUUGAGAGAAAGCACCACUCUUCACUAGAGAGUGCAUUUGAAGUGGCAGCACAGACAGUGGAGGAAUCGCAGCCUCAGAGGGAUCUGCUGAAGGAAUCGGUUCCUCUGGCAGUGCCAAAGGAGCAGCAUGAAUGAUCUUUACUGAAAUGCCCAAAAUAGAUUGGGGCAGGAAAGCUUUCUAGAACAAAUCCUUCUGGAGGUCACACCUGCUUUGAUCAAAUCACACCAAAUAACAUUCGUUAUUUUAAUUAGCUUAUUAAACAUUUAAUUGAGGACUAUACAAAUUGCAUUAUUUCCCUGGUGCAUAAAACCCUGAAAGCUUCUCAGAUGCUGUUCUUCAGAGGUUGAAUGAUCCCAGGUGUGAUGAGAAAUUUUGAUUAACUAAAAUUUUUUUAGAUCCUCGCCAUGGAACAACAAUAUUCAUAAUACAUAUUUCUUACUAUGAUAAGUAUUAGAAAUCAAAAUCUGCAAUUUUUUUUCCAUAUGGUGCAAAAAUAGCUUAGUAAUAAUCCUCUUUCAAGUCAAGGAGCCGCCUUUUGAGUACCAGUCUUUUCAAGACCAGUGCCUGAGCCUUUCUUUUCACUCCAGGUUGUAGUGUAAGUGGUGGGGGGAUUAGGUCUAAAUUCAAAACUCCCUGAAAUCAGCAGGAAGAUGUAUCUUUUACCACAGGAAAGACUAGGUGCAAGAUGGGUUUCAGUCCCUUUGGUGGUGAAGACCUGUCCCCUAGCUGAUGCUUCUGUAUUUACUAUAAAUAUAUUGUAUCUGUCUACAAAAAGAUGGUGUGGAAACACAAAGAACAAGAAAUAAUUUCUUAAAUAAACAGAACUUUAAGGAUCUGCCA
rnacentral:lncRNA from 1 species